CCUCAUGAAAACAAACAAAAAACACAUAACACAUAUAUCUUUGCACUGUUAAGAAACACUUGCUGGAAAACACUAGGGAGUAGGUCUAUCAACUUGCAUCAAAAUGAAACAAUACUGUUCAAUGCUGAAAAUAAAUGGCAGGCAACAUCCACAGCCGUUAGUCAAUAAACACCAUGUUUGGGCCACGAUAAAGAGUUCAUCUCCAUAUCAAUUUCUGAGUGACCUCCUGCUCUCUCUGGACUUUGCGGGGAACAAUGGUUCAUCACUUGUCGUGCAAGUCGAGAGUAAUAGUACUGUGACUGCACAGAUCUUCCAGCCCAGGUUGAAAUGGGAGUCACUUCCCUGUGUCCAUUGGUCUCCCUGCUACAUGCCCUCGGGAGCUCUGAGUCCCGGCAUCCCCUCUGGGUAUAUGGACUAUGGGUUGGAUAUGUUUCUACUCGGACCCCCUGCCCAGUUAAAAAAAGCGCAGCUGCAUGGAUCCGGGGUUUGCUUGAGAGAUGGGGCAUUUAGGUUGGCUAUGACUGCGCUGGAGACCUAUCACAGCGGCCAUUUUAUGUACACUGCAGGAACUCUGAGGUUGGCUGGCACUGUGAACCAUUUUGGCAUGCUUCUGUUGGCGUUGGGCCAGUUUUCUCCAAAAAUCCUCGAAGAUUGCAUCCAGCUUAGUGCUGAAGUCAGUUUGUGCAUUGAGGUUGGCAGCAGGACUCACUGUGCUCCCCUGGGACUGCAAGGGUGGUGCUGUGGCAGCCAUUAGAGACUCUUCGUGGCUGCGGGAGAUCAUGCUGUGGUAAUGAGGUAAGUGUCCCCAGCAGGGACUGGGAUAACCCCCACCGGUCCAUGGGAGGGGAGGGCAGCGGGACUGCUUUGGGUGGUCUGUUAUGAGUGUGUCCCCUUUCGGAGGAUUGGCCACUUCCCCCAGACACCAGGUUCUGCCCAGAGCUAGGCUGCAUGAUUGAACAGAUUGGUCUUGUGGCGUAACCGCUUAAGAUGGGUAUCACCGUGGUCACUAUGAUUUCUGCUCGGUCCUCCAGUCACCCAGAGCUGCACUCAGUACUGGUUCAGUCAGAAAAGGCUUGUUUUUGCUCAUAGGUGCCGGCUCUUAGAAAGCACAGCCGGCCACCUUGGCUGUCAGGCCCCACCCCCCGAUAAUCUAUUUUUUUUUUUAUUGCUAUUUGCUUACCCUACAAAUUCAAAAGCAUUAUCAAAUUGGUUAACUUGCCAGUCACCAAAAAGUACUACUGAGUGCGCUUAUAAUUCACCUAAAUGUGAAUCUUGCCUAGUAUUUUUAUUUAGUUUUACACAUCUGUCCAAUACAAAGUUUAACCCCUUAACGCUGUUACGGCGUUCUAUGCCAUCGGGCUUUAAAGACGUUGCGGCGGCAUAGAACGCCGUAACGGCUUAAGCCCAGGGGAGGUAAGAUUUACAUACCUCCGCCACGAUCCUCUUCUGGAGGGCUGCCUGACAGCCCAGGCAGCCCUCCCCCGGCAAAUGAGACCCC